GGUGUUGUAACCUCUUUUUUCUUUUGACACUCUUCCACUCCACUUGCCUCUCCACACCACUCACUUCGAGACUCUCCCUCCCUCUCUCUCUCUCUCUCUCUCUGUGUGUCUCUCUCUCUCCCCCCUGUGCCGUCUCUUAUUGGUGAAUGUGAAAUCAGUCGGUACGGCGCCGAGGCUCAACUAGAGCAGCAGGAGCAGCAGCCUGCGCUUGACAGCUGCCUCCAGCGUUCCUCCACCGGAGCCGUGUUGCUCUGCAUAGAGGAGUGCGCCGCACAAUCCGGGAUCCUGCAGACGAUGAAAACGCCAUCUGGGGUGAGGAUGGAGAUAAUCGGGGUGAAGAUGUGAUCUUCCUUACUUCCUGUCGCCCCUCUGAGUUGCACUUUUCCCGCGCUCGGCACUACUUACCAGGGAUGCGAGCGGCUUUCCCAGGCAUUUAGAUUUCCCACCAGCGUCUAGACACUCCCAGGAGGUUCUGCCAUCCAUUAUAAAGAUGGAGCUUUCAAAGAGAAGAGGAAGCGAGGGCCUCACACAGAGUGCGUUCUGCCUAAAAUCACACCGCUACGUACAGAACAACUUGUGCCGAACUCAAUCCAGAUCCCAUCAUUAGAGGAACUCCAGAGGAGACAACCGGCGGAUCUUCUUCCCCGCGGAGCGCCGGUGCCGUGCUUAUGGCAGCUUCGGCCUUUUUGUCCUCAUCCAUCAAACCGUGGGCUGCGCUCGGCCGGGUCUCAGCUGGUGGGAAGCCGAAACUCGGAGAGGGAUGUGGCUCCAUCCUGAGUCUCCCAGCUCCACAGGUGGGUAUCGACGUUUCUAUCCCACAUACAUCACAUCAGGACGGUUUCACAGAGGGAAACAAAAACCCUUUUUCACCUCUUUGUUUCUUCCCUCCUUUCAAGUCCCAGAAACAUUUGAACCCUCGGUCAGCUCCACACAACAAAUUAUCCAAUGUUCACAAAAUAAAACAUUUUACAUCUUCUCUAACAUAAA